AUGGGAACGCGAAGAACCUUACCUACUCUUGACAUCCAGAGAACUUAGCAGAGAUGCUUUGGUGCCUUCGGGAACUCUGAGACAGGUGCUGCAUGGCUGCCGUCAGCUCGUGUUGUGAAAUGUUGGGUUAAGUCCCGCAACGAGCGCAACCCUUAUCCUUUGUUGCCAGCGAUUCGGUCGGGAACUCAAAGGAGACUGCCAGUGAUAAACUGGAGGAAGGUGGGGAUGACGUCAAGUCAUCAUGGCCCUUACGAGUAGGGCUACACACGUGCUACAAUGGCAUAUACAAAGAGAAGCGACCUCGCGAGAGCAAGCGGACCUCAUAAAGUAUGUCGUAGUCCGGAUUGGAGUCUGCAACUCGACUCCAUGAAGUCGGAAUCGCUAGUAAUCGUAGAUCAGAAUGCUACGGUGAAUACGUUCCCGGGUCUUGUACACACCG
rnacentral:rRNA from 1 species